CCGUCAGUGGUUCCAGGAUGCAUCG
rnacentral:misc_RNA from 1 species